AAAAAACUUCCAUUUUUCUAGAUAGAGCUUUGAGCCGCAACAUCCGCCUUCCGCUCGUGCAAUGGCUUCCAGCUCCGUGCUUAAGAUGGCCGCCGUUUUCAUGCUGGCCCUAUUCGCCGGCCAGGCGCUGAUGGCUACGCCAGUGAUGGCAGAAGAACUAGGUAACCGGCACAACCUUUUGGAGAAGUAUGAUGAGACACAAUGUCGCGGAUACGCCACAUGCAAUAUUGUAUGCUUCUACCAAGUUUUUCAAGUCUGCAUCAUCUACAGCCCUGUUGCAUUCUGCAACACUUGGGCGUUUGGGUUCUGCAAGGACAAGAGAUAUUGAGGCAUAAAUGGCAGUGCAGCUCCUUUUGGGAUGCAUGCACAACUACACGAGCAACUCACCUCAUCAGUGUCAACUAUUGUUCCUUGGUUAUUGGCGUUGUCCGUUGUAAGAGUCCUAAUAUGUUCCUCCCUUUAUUUCCAGCUAUCAUGUAUCAGCGGCUUAGCCAACUAUUUAAUUACUUCAUUGUCUGUCAUCAUGGUACUUGUUUAACUAAAAAUGCCCCGUCGGAUACAAAUGUAUGUGUCGUGUGAUUAUAAAAUGGUUCCGCCGCUGCAACAUUUUUUGGUCCAUAAUGGCCAUAUAAGCAUGCUCUUUCUACCCUUACCCAUGAAUCUUUUUUCAUGAAUGACCAUUCGUUUGACAGAUUUGGCAUGUGGUUCGACAAAAUGCCAUAAGAAAUAAAGGAUGCAAAAAUAUAAGGGAGCAUGAAGCUGAAUUGGCACUAACCUUGUUAAUAUUUUUCGUAGUUGACAAGACAAAUACUACACAGGCCAUCGCCACACCCAGUUUCGCUAGCUCAUCGCAGAGGAUGCGAUGUUUGACAACAUAUACAUUCUAAACGGACACUCAAGGCCCAUAGGGUGACCAGCGUUGCUUCCGUGUUAAUAUUGGCCCACAGGGUAUGAAAGUUUUUCUUUUGUGAGUCCCUAUCAUGUGGAACCCACGUCAGCUGUCGUGAUUGCAUUGGCUUUCAGCGACCGAAUACAUCGAAUCGGGGUUUUCGAGCGUUCUCUCCUUAUUUACCUUGAGUACCCCAAACCCAUUGAGGUCGCCUGCCGACGCUCUCUAGUAGUCGUCCAGGUGCUUGGGUCAUCCUUCUUCUGGCUAGAGUCGCAUUGGCAUCGAUCCUUUGGACAUUUGUUUCAAUCCCCCAAGAGCGUCUAUCACUGCCCCUACCGCAGAUGCCACCGAAAAGAGUUCUGGCAUUGAGCGAGCAUUUUCUUGGACUAUCCUGAUCAAACAUCUCGCAUGCCUCAUUCUACCUUUGAAAACUGAAAUUUUAACCAGGUACAAUAGAUCCAUGGGAAGUCAUUCCUUUGCCUCAGAAACCCGCAAUUCCCAGAUAGAAAAUCCUAUUUCCCGCUCCUCUAGUUUCUUAAACCAGCGCUGUUUCUUUUUCCAGCAGGGAUACUCCCGAAAAAAGGGCUUCCAUUCGAAGUGGAAAGAAAGAGACGGGUUUGUUCUCCCUCUUUGCCUAUCAGUUAAGUAGAUUGUAGGUCCCCUCCCAGGCCUCGCAACCAAGAGUCACUUGUCGAAAGUUGACCAGGAAGACAAGAACUAUCGAGGCUGGAAUAGAUAGAUGAAACACUAAAAUGUUUCACCUUCUUCUAUGGUCAUUCUUAUUUUCAUGAAGUUGAAAUUGUGCUCGCACAUGUAAGCUUAAUCAGGUUUGUGGACAUCAGAACCCCCAUUGUCCUGUAUCUCUUCAACAUGCAAGCACUUCGUUAGGGCUGUUUUUUUUUUUGGAAGUGGGUUCACUGUUUACGCCUCCAUAGAAUCCGGCUAGCUCAAAGAGUCCCCAGAUGACCUCGAGUUGCUCCUGGCACCUUGCUAGGCACGAUCUAUGGUUUUCUCCUCAUUCCAGUGAUGUCAUAAAUGAUUGGGACCGUUCACCUAGACCCGAAAAUCAUUGAAGGGUAGUGAGGAAGGAGUUGGGCGUUUCCUAACUUCCAUUGCCUACACCAAGGGACGUUCCACUUACAUUGCACCCAUGAUAAUCACUAAAGUCGAAAAAAUAGCUAAAUAAUUUGAAUUUGCGGGCUCGGCUGUGACCAAUUGUUUAGUGUGCUUAUUUGGUGGCCAAAUGACAUCCGAGGAGCUCUUUACAUAUAAACAUAUCAAAUUUUGUCCUCAAAGUUAUGUACGCAUAGCUUGAGCAAAAGUUGUAUUUUGUAUAUAUGAAGCUCAUUUGAUAAUAUUUGUCACCAAACUAUGCAAGCACCUGAAACACUUGUUCAAUAAUGCCCCAAUUUUUUUUUCUAUUUGUUAUGAUUUUACUCUUUAGAGUGGGUAAAUUGCACUUCGGUGUAGCCACAAUUUUUCCUUCCCUUCCCGCAUCUCUGAUGGUAGCAAGCUCGAGGUACCGGUCAGGAGUUUUUAGCUGGAAGGAUGUGGCGAUCGUGACUCCAAGGUCAUAUCUAUCCAGGGGUACUAUUCUGGGGACGAAGCCAUUAGGAGUUGCUUUUGACCGUGAUCCUUUUGACCAGUUAUCGCAAUGCCCAAACUUUGCUACAUUAACAUAUAUGAAUUUGUAUGACAGUGGGAAGUAACAUCGAAUUAUGAAAAUGAUACAGGGAUGCAAAUAACAACCUUACUCCUACUUGUCUAAAAUUAUAUGUAUCAACAGGUAUAGUGUGUGUGAGGGGGGGAGGGGGAUCCUAUAAGCCUUGUACACUAGGUUUCUAGCACAUUUGGUGACCAGUCUUGACCAGAUGUGCAAGUUGAGAUCUAGUCUAGGCCUGAAGCUAGCGCUUCCAUUCAGUCAUCUUGGCCCUCCAAGCAGAAGUUGUCACAUAUUGAUCAGGUGCUAAUGUAUUUAUAAAUGGUUUGGGGUCAGAUGGACGCCUUCCUUUCGUAGACUUCCGUUCGUGAAAAGCUUGAUAAUUCCACUGUCAUGACAUGUCCUCCCUCCUUUAAAGGAGUUCCUGGGGUACCCGUCAUCCUAAUUUCACUUCUAGGAGUGACCCUCCGUGUGAGUUGGUUUGACAUUCGUGAAAGUUUCCUUCAGGCUUACACGGCUUGGCAUGGGCCCGAUCCACCUCUUUCCUACAACAUAUGACCUACCCGUAUACUACACCUUCACCCAUGGUGAGUAAACAACCCCUUGGUUGCCCGCUCCACCAGAUACGUGCUGCCAAAAGCAACUCCUGAUGUUCUGUAGCUGAAGUGAUGACAAGAUCUGAACCCGGUGGAUACUUGAGCAGAUAACUUGGAGAGGAGAAUAUAUCUUCUUUCUUAAAAUUUUGCAUUCGUUAUAUAUUUCUCUCAAAUUUACCUGUCGGCAAACAAAAAGAACAAUGAUAGAUCAAACUAUGUGCUUUUGGUUAGCAGCAUACGCGAAACACAGUUGAAGAACUGUAAGGAUGGUAUGCCAUGAGAUGCUUUCCUAGGUGAGUAAUUUAUGAUCUUGAGAUGCCCUUCACACACUUACCUAAGUUGACAACUAACUCUAUAAUGCCAUUAAGACUUGAACACUAUUGUUUUAUACUAUUUUCGACUUAAUAAUGAAUCUUGGUGCCAUGGUGAUAGUAUAUUUUAGACUCGGAUCAUGGCAUACACAAGGAUCAUCUAUCGAUUAUUAAUUAAGUGCUAAAUUAUGUGGUGGCAAUAUAUGGACCUAGCUGGCUUGAGAUUUGCUACAUGCAGGGGAGUACGACAACAUCAAUUAUAUCAUGCAUGAUGAGAUUGAGCUUACACAAACUUGUAUUAUCAUGCGUCUACUUUUGAAAUAUACAUAAAAAGGAAGUAAAAUUUGUAGGAAAAAUUAUUGGCUGGUCAAAUAAUUUCAUUCUUCUGAAAUGUAUGACCAUAUUAAUAAUGAAGUACUUGAUUAGACUAACGCUUCUAAUGAACCCUCUCAGGUAAACGCCAUGAUGGUGUUGCAUCUACCCUUAUAUGCUUAUGUCUGGAACACAUGCUCUGCUUUUGGAUUUAUCUCUAUAAAAAAUACACUAUUCGAGGAAUCGUCAGAGUUUUCCCCGGGUUUAAAGUUUAUACUGAAAUUUGUAAUUUUGAUAAGCAGUAUAAGGAUCGGUAAAAUGCCAUUCAAGAUAUGUAUUGACGGUAACGCGCAAGGCGCUCUCAUAGGUGUGUAAUUUAUGAUCUUAAGAUGCUCUAUGCGCUCGUGGUUGUUUGGUUAAAUAAAAUUAGCCAUGAGUUUAUGGAAAAUUAGUUGUUAGCUGGUUUUAGUAAAAUCCUUUUUGCUAGCAGUUUUGUGAAUAAUCAGUAUAGAAAAAAUAGUGUUUGGGAUUAGGAAACUGUAAAGAUGGACAUGCAUUUACUUGUUUGGAUAAAAUUCCAUAUUCCUCUCUCUGUGAGUUGUGGAAGGAGGAUGGCAAGAAAAAAGUUUGGGGCGUGAGGAAGUUAGUUAGUAUCCCGUAUUGCUAUCACGUUUAAAAAAAACAAAUAGUAGUUUUUCUACAAAUGUGAAAUCGUGAGUUUACUUGAAAAAAAGUUCUUCAUAUACGCGGGUUAGUUAGAAUAGCGAAGAAAGAUUCUAUUCGGUUAGACAGUUUUUCAAGUUUAUAGGAAUUGCGUUUUGUAUAUACUAUCUAUCCUAGCAACCCUAGCUAAGUUGUGAACUCCAUAACGCCAUCAAUACUUGAACGUACUACAGUUCUGUCUUGUUUGGACUCCCGACUGAAUCAUGGUAGUUGUACAUUUUUUACUCAGUGCAUGUCACACACACCAUGAUUAUCUACUGAUUGUUAAGUGCUAGGUAUGUGUUGGCAAGAUAUCCAACUAGUUGGCUUGAUAUUGGGUACAUGCAGGGGAGUACUCCAAAGUCAACUAUAUAUCAUGAUGGGAUCAAGCAUACAUAAACAGGUAUUAUCAUGCAUGUUCGUAUGAUAGUGCAGUAUCAGCUCUGAGAUCAUGAAUGGCAAACUGGAGGGGCUAAUUUAUGAGUGCGUGUGCUUAUAAAUAGGGUCUCUAGCUAGCUAGUACUCACAUCAACACAAGCACGAGAAAACACUUCCAUUUUUCUAGAUAGAGCUUUGAGCCGCAACAUCCGCCUUCCGCUCUUGCAAUGGCUUCCAGCUCCGUGCUUAAGAUGGCCGCCAUUUUCGUGCUGGCCGUAUUCGCCCGCCAGGCACUGAUGGCUACGCCGGCGAUGGCAGAAGGACUAGGUUACCGACACAACCUUUUGGAGAAGUAUGAUGAGACGCAAUGUCGCGGAUACGCCACAUGCAAUAUUGUAUGCUUCUACCAAGUUUUUCAAGUCUGCAUCAUCUACAGCCCUGUUGCAUUCUGCAACACUUGGGCGUUUGGGUUCUGCAAGGACAAGAGAUACUGAGGCAUAAAUAGCAGUGCAGCUCCUUUUGGGAUGCAUGCACAACUACACGAGCAACUCACCUCAUCAGUGUCAACUAUUAUUGUUCCUUCGUUAUUGGCGCUGUGCGUUGUAAGAGUCCUAAUAUGUUCCUCCCUUUAUUUCCAACUAUCAUGUAUCAGUGGCUUAACCAACUAUUUAAUUCCUAUAUUGUCUGUCAUCAUGGUACUUGUUCAACUAAAAAUCCCCCGUCGAAUACAAAUGUAUGUGUCGUGUGAUUAUAAAAUGGUUCCGCCACUGCAACAUUUUUCAGUCCAUGAUGGCCAUAUAAGCAUGCUCUUUCCACCCUUACCCAUGAAUCUUUUUUCAUGAAUGACCAUUCGUUUGACAGAUUUGGCAUGUGGUUCGACAAAAUGCCAUAAAAAAUAAAGGAUGCAAAAAUAUAAUAAGGGAGCUUGAAGCUGAAUUGGCACUAACCUUGUAAAUACUUUUGGUAGUGGACAAGACAAAUACUACAUAGGCCAUCGCCACACCCAGUUUCGCACGAUCAUCGCAGAUGAUGCGAUGUUUGACAACAUAUACAUUCUAAACGGACACUCAGGGCCCGCAAGGCAUAGAGGGGGAGGUCAUAAGCGCCUAUACCGUAAAAUAGAUUUUCGACGGAAUCAAAAAGACAUAUCUGGUAGAAUCGUAACCAUAGAAUACGACCCUAAUCGAAAUGCAUACAUUUGUCUCGUAGGGUGACCAGCGUUGCUUCCAUGUUAAUCCGGGCCCAUAGGGUACGAAAGUUUCUCCUUCUGUGAGUCCCUAUCACGUGGAACCCACAUCAACUGCCGUGAUUGCAUUGGCUUUCAGGGACCGAAUACAUCGAAUCGGGGUUUUCGAGCGGUCUCUCCUUAUUUACCUUGAGUACCCCAAACCCAUUGAGGUCACUUGCUGACGCUCUCUAGUAGUCGUCCAGGUGCUUGGGUCAUCCUUCUUCUGGCUAGUCGCUUUGGCAUCGAUCCUUUGGACAUUUGCUUCAAUCCCCCAAGAACGUCUUUCACUGCCCCUACCACAGAUGCUACCGAAAAGAGUUCCGACAUUGAGCAAGUAUUUUCUUGGACUAUCCCGAUCAAACAUCUCUCAUGCCUCAUUCUACCUUUGAAAACUGAAAUUAUAUCCAGGUACGAUAGAUCCGUGGGAAGUCAUUCCUUUGCCUCAGAAAUCCGCAAUUCCCAGAUGAAAAAUCCUAUUUCAAGCUCCUCUAGUUUCUUAAACCAGCACUGUUUCAUUUUCCAGCAGGGAUACUCCUGAAAAAGGGCUUCCGUUCAAAGUGGAAAGAAAGAGACCUGUCCGUUCUCCCUAUUUGCCUAGCGGUUAAGUAGAAUGUAGGGCCCCUCCUAGGCCACGCAACCAAGAGUCACUUGUCGAAAGUUGACCAGGAAGACAAUAACUAUCGAGGCUGGAAUAGAUAGAUGAAACUCUAAAAUGUUUCACCUUCUUCUAUGGUCAUUCUUAUUUUCAUGAAGCUCACAUGUAAGCUUCGUCAGGCUUGUGGACAUCACAACGCCCAUUCACAUGUAUUUCUUCAACAUGCAAGCACUUCAUUAGGGCCGCUGUUUUUUUGGAAGUGGGUUCACUGUUUACGCCUCCAUGGAAUCUGGCUAGCUCGAAGAGUCCCCAGAUGACGUCGAGUUGCUCCUGGCACCCAGCUAGGCAUGAUCUAUGGUUCUCUCCUCAUUCCCAGUGAUGUGAUAAAUGAUUGGGACCGUUCACCUAGAACGGAAAAUCAUUGAAGGGGACUGAGGAAGGAGUUGGGCGUUUCCUAACUUCCAUUGCCAGAGUGGUUUUUUUACACCAGGGGAUGUUCCACCUACAUUGCACCCAUGAUAAUCACUAAAAUUGACAAAAAAUAUCUAAAUAAUUUGAAUUUGCGGGCUCGGCUGUGACCAAUUGUUUAGGGUGCUUAUUUGGUGGCCAAAUGACAUCCGAGGAGCUCUUUACAUAAAAAAUAUAUCAAAUUUUGUCCUGAAAGUUAUGUAAGCAUAGUUUGAGCAGAAGUUGUAUUUUGUAUAUAUGAAGCUCAUUUGAUACUAUUUGUUCACCAAACUAUGCGAGCACCUAAAACACUUGUUCAAUAAUGCCCCAAAGUUUUUUUUCUAUUUGUUAUGAUUUACUCUUCAGCGUGGGUAAAUUGCACUUUGGUGUAGCCACAACUUUUCCUUCCCAUCCCGCAUAUCUGAUGGUAGCAAGCUCGGUGUACAUCUUCACCCAUGGUGAGUAAACAACUCCUUGGUUGGCCGCUCCACCUAGAUAUGUGUCGCCAAAAGCAACUCCAGAUGUUCCUGUAGCUGAAGUGACGACCAUAUAUGAACCCCGUGGAUACUUGAACAUAUAACUUGGAGAGGAGAAUAUAUCUUCUUUCAUCAAAUAUCACAUUAUUUCUACGUAACUACACUGACUAUCAAAUUUUGCAUUCGUUAUAUAUUUCUCUCAAAUUUUGCUAAAACCAAAAUAUUUUUUUAAUACACAUGAAAUUUCCAUGUAACAAUUUGCGUAAAACAUCAUCUACACAACUAAUGAAUCAACUGGGAUGCAACAUGCAUACAUCUAAUUAGCUCGUGGUAAUUGUUUAAAUAUGUCAAGUUCAAUCAAUGAAUCUUUUUUCAUGAAUGACCAUUCGUUUGACAGAUUUGGCAUGUGGUUCGACACAAUGCCAUAAGAAAUAAAGGAUGCAAAAAUAUAAGGGAGCAUGAAGCUGAAUUGGCACUAACCUUGUUAAUAUUUUUCGUAGUGGACAAGACAAAUACUACACAGGCCAUCGCCACACCCAGUUUCGCUAGCUCAUCGCAGAUGAUGCGAUGUUUGACAACAUAUACAUUCUAAACGGACACUCAAGGCCCAUAGGGUGACCAGCGUUGCUUCCAUGUUAAUAUGGGCCCACAGGGUAUGAAAGUUUUUCUUCUGUGAGUCCCUAUCAUGUGGAACCCACGUCAGUUGUCGUGAUUGCGUUGGCUUUCAGCGACCGAAUACAUCGAAUCGGGGUUUUCGAGCAUUCUCUCCUUAUUUACCUUGAGUACCCCAAACCCAUUGAGGUCGCCUGCCGACGCUCUCUAGUAGUCGUCCAGGUGCUUGGGUCAUCCUUCUUCUGGCUAGAGUCGCUUUGGCAUCGAUCCUUUGGACAUUUGGUUCAAUCCCCCAAGAGCGUCUAUCACUGCCCCUACCGCAGAUAGUACCGAAAAGAGUUCUGGCAUUGAGCGAGCAUUUUCUUGGACUAUCCUGAUCAAACAUCUCGCAUGCCUCAUUCUACCUUUGAAAACUGAAAUUUUAUCCAGGUACAAUAGAUCCGUGGGAAGUCAUUCCUUUGCCUCAGAAACCCGCAAUUCCCAGAUAGAAAAUCCUAUUUCCCGCUCCUCUAGUUUCUUAAACCAGCGCUGUUUCUAUUUCCAGCAGGGAUAGUCCCGAAAAAAGGGCUUCCAUUCAAAGUGGAAAGAAAGAGACCGGUUUGUUCUCCCUCUUUGCCUAUCAGUUAAGUCGAUUGUAGGUCCCCUCCCAGGCCUCGCAACCAAGAGUCACUUGUCGAAAGUUGACCAGGAAGACAAGAACUAUCGAGGCUGGAAUAGAUAGAUGAAACUCUAAAAUGUUUCACCUUCUUCUAUGGUCAUUCUUAUUUUCAUGAAGUUGAAAUUGUGCUCGCACAUGUAAGCUUAAUCAGGUUUGUGGACGUCACAACCCCCAUUGUCCUGUAUCUCUUCAACAUGCAAGCACUUAGUUAGGGCUGGUGUUUUUUUUUGGAAGUGGGUUCACUGUUUACGCCUCCAUAGAAUCCGGCUAGCUCAAAGAGUCCCCAGAUUACGUCGAGUUGCUCCUGGCACCUUGCUAGGCACGAUCUAUGGUUUUCUCCUCAUUCCAGUGAUGUCAUAAAUGAUUGGGACCGUUCACCUAGAACGGAAAAUCAUUGAAGGGUAGUGAGGAAGGAGUUGGGCGUUUCCUAACUUCCAUUGCCUACACCAGGGGACGUUCCACUUACAUUGCACCCAUGAUAAUCACUAAAGUCGAAAAAAUAGCUAAAUAAUUUGAAUUUGCGGGCUCGGCUGCGACCAAUUGUUUAGUGUGCUUAUUUGGUGGCCAAAUGACAUCCGAGGAGCUCUUUACAUAUAAACAUAUCAAAUUUGGUCCUCAAAGUUAUGUACGCAUAGCUUGAGCAAAAGUUGUAUUUUGUAUAUAUGAAGCUCAUUUGAUAAUAUUUGGUCACCAAACUAUGCAAGCACCUGAAACACUUGUUCAAUAAUGCCCCAAAGUUUUUUUCUAUUUUUUAUGAUUUUACUCUUUAGCGUGGGUAAAUUGCACUUCGGUGUAGCCACAACUUUUCCUUCCCUUCCCGCAUCUCUGAUGGUAGCAAGCUCGAGGUACCGGUCAGGAGUUUUUAGCUGGAAGGAUGUGGCGAUCGUGACUCCAAGGUCAUAUCUAUCCAGGGGUACUAUUCUGGGGACAAAGCCAUUAGGAGUUGCUUUUGACCGUGAUCCUUUUGACCAGUUAUCGCAAUGCCCAAACUUUGCUACAUUAACAUACAUGAAUUUGUAUGACAGUGGGAAGUAACAUCGAAUUAUGAAAAUGAUACAGGGAGACAAUCUUCCCCUUUCGGCCCCCACGAUGCAAAUAACAACCUUACUCCUACUUGUCUAGAAUUAUAUGUAUCAACAGGUAUAGUGUGUGUGAGGGGGUGAGGGGGAUCCUGCGAGCCUUGUACACUAGGUUUCUAGCACAUUUGGUGACCAGUCUUGACCAGAUGUGCAAGUUCAGAUCUAGUCUAGGCCUGAAGCUAGGGCUUCCAUUCAGUCAUCUUGGCCCUCCAAGCAGAAGUUGUCACCUCUUGUUCAGGUGCUAAUGUAUUUAUAAAUGGUUUGGGGUCAGAUGGACGCCUUCCUUUCCUAGCCUUCCGUUCGUGAAAAGCUUUAUAAUCCCACUGUCAUGACAUGUCCUCCCUCCUUUAAAGGAGUUCCUGGGGUACCCGUCAUCCUAAUUUCACUGCUAGGAGUGACCCUCCGUGGGAGUUGGUUUGACAUUCAUGAAAGUUUCCUUCAGGCUUACACGGCUUGGCAUGGGCCCGAUCCACCUCUUUCCUACAACAUAUGACCUACCCGUAUACUACACCUUCACCCAUGGUGAGUAAACAACCCCUUGGUUGCCCGCUCCACCAGAUACGUGCUGCCAAAAGCAACUCCUGAUGUUCUGUAGCUGAAGUGAUGACAAGAUCUGAACCCGGUGGAUACUUGAGCAGAUAACUUGGAGAGGAGAAUAUAUCUUCUUUCUUAAAAUUUUGCAUUCGUUAUAUAUUUCUCUCAAAUUUUUCUAAAACUAAUUUUUUUAGUACAAAUGAAAUUUCCAUGUAACAAUUUGCGUAAAACAUCAUCUACACAACUAAUGAAUCAACUGGGAUGCAACAUGCAUAUAUCUAAUUAGCUCGUGGUAUUAUUUAAAUAUGUCAAGUUGAAUCAAUGAUAAAUAAAAAAAAUAAGAAAUUAACUAUAAAAUAUUUCAAUAUUAAUUAAUGUGGAUGACAGACAUAAUGUAACCAUGACUCCCUGACAGGUAGGUAGUACAAACGGCAGGGUUGAUUUUAUAUCCGUGUGUUGCUUCUGAUAAUUUACCUGUCGGCAAACAAAAAGAAUAAUGAUAGAUCAAACUAUGUGCUUUUGGUUAGCAGCAUACGCGAAACACAGUUGAAGAACUGUAAUGAUGGUAUGCCAUGAGAUGCUUUCCUAGGUGAGUAAUUUAUGAUCUCGAGAUGCCCUUCACACACUUACCUAAGUUGACAACUAACUCUAUAAUGCCAUUAAGACUUGAACACUAUUGUUUUAUACUAUUUUCGACUUAAUAAUGAAUCUUGGUGCCAUGGUGAUAGUAUAUUUUAGACUCGGAUCAUGGCAUACACAAGGAUCAUCUAUCGAUUAUUAAUUAAGUGCUAAAUUAUGUGGUGGCAAUAUAUGGACCUAGCUGGCUUGAGAUUUGCUACAUGCAGGGGAGUACGACAACAUCAAUUAUAUCAUGCAUGAUGAGAUUGAGCUUACACAAACUUGUAUUAUCAUGCGUCUACUUUUGAAAUAUACAUAAAAAGGAAGUAAAAUUUGUAGGAAAAAUUAUUGGCUGGUCAAAUAAUUUCAUUCUUCUGGAAUGUAUGACCAUAUUAAUAAUGAAGUACUUGAUUAGACUAAAGCUUCUACAGAACCCUCUCAGGUAAACGCCAUGAUGGUGUUGCAUCUACCCUUAUAUGCUUAUGUCUGGAACACAUGCUCUGCUUUUGGAUUUAUCUCCAUAAAAAAUACACUAUUCGAGGAAUCGUCAGAGUUUUCCCCGGGUUUAAAGUUUAUACUAAAAUUUGUAAUUUUGAUUAGCAGUAUAAGGGUCGGUAAAAUGCCAUUCAAGAUAUGUAUUGACGGUAACGCGCAAGGCGCUCUCAUAGGUGUGUAAUUGAUGAUCUUAAGAUGCUCUAUGCGCUCGUGGUUGUUUGGUUAAAUAAAAUUAGCCAUGAGUUUAUGGAAAAUUAGUUGUUAGCUGGUUUUUAGUAAAAUCCUUUUUGCUAGCAGUUUUGUGAAUAAUCAGUAUAGGAAAAAUAGUGUUAGGGAUUAGGAAACUGUAAAGACGGACAUGCAUUUACUUGUUUGGAUAAAAUUCCAUAUUCCUCUCUCUGUGAGUUGUGGAAGGAGGAUGGCAAGAAAAAAGUUUGGGGCGUGAGGAAGUUAGUUAGGAUCCCGUAUUGCUAUUGCGUUUUAAAAAAACAAAUAGUAGUUUUUCUACAAAUGUAAAAUCGUGAGUUUACUUGAAAAAAGGUCUUCAUAUACGCGGGUUAGUUAGAAUAGCCAAGAAAGAUUCUAUUCGGUUAGACAGUUUUUCAAGUUUAUAGGAAUUGCGUUUUGUAUAUACUAUCUAUCCUACCAACCCUAGCUAAGUUGUGAACUCUAUAACGCCAUCAAUACUUGAACGUACUACAGUUCUGUCUUGUUUGGACUCCCGACUGAAUCAUGGUAGUUGUACAUUUUUUACUCAGUGCAUGUCACACACACCAUGAUUAUCUACUGAUUGUUAAGUGCUAGGUAUGUGUUGGCAAGAUAUCCAACUAGUUGGCUUGAUAUUGGGUACAUGCAGGGGAGUACUCCAAAGUCAACUAUAUAUCAUGAUGGGAUCAAGCAUACAUAAACAUGUAUUAUCAUGCAUGUUCGUAUGAUAGUGCAGUAUCAGCUCUGAGAUCAUGAAUGGCAAACUGGAGGGGCUAAUUUAUGAGUGCGUGUGCUUAUAAAUAGGGUCUCUAGCUAGCUAGUACUCACAUCAACACAAGCACGAGAAAACACUUCCAUUUUUCUAGAUAGAGCUUUGAGCCGCAACAUCCGCCUUCUGCUCUUGCAAUGGCUUCCAGCUCCGUGCUUAAGAUGGCCGCCAUUUUCGUGCUGGCCGUAUUCGCCGGCCAGGCACUGAUGGCUAAAACGGCGAUGGCAGAAGGACUAGGUUACCGACACAACCUUUUGGAGAAGUAUGAUGAGACGCAAUGUCGCGGAUACGCCACAUGCAAUAUUGUAUGCUUCUACCAAGUUUUUCAAGUCUGCAUCAUCUACAGCCCUGUUGCAUUCUGCAACACUUGGGCGUUUGGGUUCUGCAAGGACAAGAGAUACUGAGGCAUAAAUAGCAGUGCAGCUCCUUUUGGGAUGCAUGCACAACUACACGAGCAACUCACCUCUUCAGUGUCAAGUAUUAUUGUUCCUUCGUUAUUGGCGUUGUGCGUUGUAAGAGUCCUGAUAUGUUCCUCCCUUUAUUUCCAACUAUCAUGUAUCAGUGGCUUAACCAACUAUUUAAUUCCUUCAUUGUCUGUCAUCAUGGUACUUGUUCAACUAAAAAUCCCCCGUCGAAUACAAAUAUAUGUGUCGUGUGAUUAUAAAAUGGUUCCGCUGCUGCAACAUUUUUCA
rnacentral:lncRNA from 1 species